rnacentral:rRNA from 1 species
UAACACAUGCAAGUCGAACGGAAAGGCCCUCCUUUUGUGGGGUGCUCGAGUGGCGAACGGGUGAGUAACACGUGAGUAACCUGCCCUUGACUUUGGGAUAACUUCAGGAAACUGGGGCUAAUACCGGAUAGGAGCUCCUGCUGCAUGGUGGGGGUUGGAAAGUUUCGGCGGUUGGGGAUGGACUCGCGGCUUAUCAGCUUGUUGGUGGGGUAGUGGCUUACCAAGGCUUUGACGGGUAGCCGGCCUGAGAGGGUGACCGGCCACAUUGGGACUGAGAUACGGCCCAGACUCCUACGGGAGGCAGCAGUGGGGAAUAUUGCACAAUGGGCGGAAGCCUGAUGCAGCAACGCCGCGUGCGGGAUGACGGCCUUCGGGUUGUAAACCGCUUUCGCCUGUGACGAAGCGUGAGUGACGGUAAUGGGUAAAGAAGCACCGGCUAACUACGUGCCAGCAGCCGCGGUGAUACGUAGGGUGCGAGCGUUGUCCGGAUUUAUUGGGCGUAAAGGGCUCGUAGGUGGUUGAUCGCGUCGGAAGUGUAAUCUUGGGGCUUAACCCUGAGCGUGCUUUCGAUACGGGUUGACUUGAGGAAGGUAGGGGAGAAUGGAAUUCCAGGUGGAGCGGUGGAAUGCGCAGAUAUCAGGAGGAACACCAGUGGCGAAGGCGGUUCUCUGGGCCUUUCCUGACGCUGAGGAGCGAAAGCGUGGGGAGCGAACAGGCUUAGAUACCCUGGUAGUCCACGCUGUAAACGGUGGGUACUAGGUGUGGGGUCCAUUCCACGGGUUCCGUGCCGUAGCUAACGCUUUAAGUACCCCGCCUGGGGAGUACGGCCGCAAGGCUAAAACUCAAAGGAAUUGACGGGGCCCCGCACAAGCGGCGGAGCAUGCGGAUUAAUUCGAUGCAACGCGUAGAACCUUACCUGGGUUUGACAUGGAUCGGGAGUGCUCAGAGAUGGGUGUGCCUCUUUUGGGGUCGGUUCACAGGUGGUGCAUGGCUGUCGUCAGCUCGUGUCGUGAGAUGUUGGGUUAAGUCCCGCAACGAGCGCAACCCUUGUUCACUGUUGCCAGCACGUUAUGGUGGGGACUCAGUGGAGACCGCCGGGGUCAACUCGGAGGAAGGUGGGGAUGACGUCAAGUCAUCAUGCCCCUUAUGUCCAGGGCUUCACGCAUGCUACAAUGGCUGGUACAGAGAGUGGCGAGCCUGUGAGGGUGAGCGGAUCUCGGAAAGCCGGUCUCAGUUCGGAUUGGGGUCUGCAACUCGACCUCAUGAAGUCGGAGUCGCUAGUAAUCGCAGAUCAGCAACGCUGCGGUGAAUACGUUCCCGGGGCUUGUACACACCGCCCGUCAAGUCAUGAAAGUUGGUAACACCCGAAGCCGGUGGCCUAACCGUUGUGGGGGAGCCGUCGAAGGUGGGACUGGUGAUUAGGACUAAGUCAUAG